rnacentral:rRNA from 1 species
GACGAACGCUGGCGGCGUGCUUAACACAUGCAAGUCGAACGGAAAGGCCCUGCUUUUGUGGGGUUCUCGAGUGGCGAACGGGUGAGUAACACGUGAGUAACCUGCCCUUGACUUUGGGAUAACUUCAGGAAACUGGGGCUAAUACCGGAUAGGAGCUCCUGCUGCAUGGUGGGGGUUGGAAAGUUUCGGCGGUUGGGGAUGGACUCGCGGCUUAUCAGCUUGUUGGUGAGGUAGUGGCUUACCAAGGCUUUGACGGGUAGCCGGCAUGAGAGGGUGACCGGCCACAUUGGGACUGAGAUACGGCCCAGACUCCUACGGGAGGCAGCAGUGGGGAAUAUUGCACAAUGGGCGGAAGCCUGAUGCAGCAACGCCGCGUGCGGGAUGACGGCCUUCGGGUUGUAAACCGCUUUCGCCUGUGACGAAGCGUGAGUGACGGUAAUGGGUAAAGAAGCACCGGCUAACUACGUG